GGGGAGCCUUCACAGGUGCUGCAUGGCUGUCGUCAGCUCGUGUCGUGAGAUGUCCGGUUAAGUCCGGUAACGAGCGCAACCCUCGCUGUGUGUUAUAUGUGUCACACGGGACUGCCGGUAUCAAGCCGGAGGAAGGUGGGGAUGACGUCAAGUCAGCAUGGCCUUUAUGUCUGGGGCUACACACACGCUACAAUGGCCAGUACAAUAGGUUGCAAGACCGCGAGGCGGAGCCAAUCCUUAAAGCUGGUCUCAGUUCGGAUUGCAGGCUGCAACUCGCCUGCAUGAAGUCGGAGUUGCUAGUAACCGCGCGUCAGCCAUAGUGCGGUGAAUACGUUCCCGGGCCUU
rnacentral:rRNA from 1 species